GGUUAAGCGACUAAGCGUACACGGUGGAUGCCCUGGCAGUCAGAGGCGAUGAAGGACGUGCUAAUCUGCGAUAAGCGUCGGUAAGGUGAUAUGAACCGUUAUAACCGGCGAUUUCCGAAUGGGGAAACCCAGUGUGUUUCGACACACUAUCAUUAACUGAAUCCAUAGGUUAAUGAGGCGAACCGGGGGAACUGAAACAUCUAAGUACCCCGAGGAAAAGAAAUCAACCGAGAUUCCCCCAGUAGCGGCGAGCGAACGGGGAGGAGCCCAGAGCCUGAAUCAGUGUGUGUGUUAGUGGAAGCGUCUGGAAAGGCGCGCGAUACAGGGUGACAGCCCCGUACACAA
rnacentral:rRNA from 1 species